GCUGAGCAUGGAGGUGCAUGCUUGUAAUCCCAGCUACUUGGGAGGCUGAGGCAGGAGAAUCACUUGAACCCAGGAGGCGGAGGUGGCAGUGAGCUGAGAUCGUGUCACUGCACUCCCACCUGGGUGACAGAGCAAGACUCUGUCUCAA
rnacentral:SRP_RNA from 1 species